UAUUAGGUUGGUGCAAAAGUAAUUGUGGUUUUCACCAUUAAUAAUAAUUUUACCAUUAUUUUUAAUGGUGAAAACCUCAAUUACUUUUGCACCAACCUAAUA
rfam:Papio anubis isolate 1X1155 chromosome 17, whole genome shotgun sequence.